GGGAGGGGCCCGCGGCCUAUCAGGUAGUUGGUGAGGUAACGGCUCACCAAGCCGACGACGGGUAGGGGGCGUGAGAGCGUGGCCCCCCACACGGGAACUGAGACACGGUCCCGACGCCUACGGGCGGCAGCAGUGAGGAAUCUUGCCCAAUGGGGGAAACCCUGAGGCAGCGACACCGCGUGCGGGAUGAAGGCCUUCGGGUCGUAAACCGCUUUUCUGGGGGACGAGUAAGGACGGUACUCCAGGAAUAAGUCCCGGCUAACUACGUGCCAGCAGCCGCGGUAAAACGUAGGGGGCGAGCGUUAUCCGGAAUCACUGGGCGUAAAGGGCGUCUAGGCGGCAGCCUAAGUCCCGUGUGAAAGCUCCCGGCUCAACUGGGAGAGGGCAUGGGAGACUGGGCAGCUAGAGACUCGGAGGGGGGUGUGGAAUUCCCGGUGGAGUGGUGGAAUGCGUUGAGAUCGGGAGGAACACCAGUAGCGAAGGCGGCACCCUGGCCGAGAUCUGACGCUGAAGCGCGAGAGCGUGGGGAGCGAACGGGAUUAGAUACCCCGGUAGUCCACGCCGUAAACGAUGACAACUAGGUGUUGGGUGUCCAAGGAUGCUCAGUACCGCAGCAAACGCGAUAAG
rnacentral:rRNA from 1 species